CAUUGAUAUGAUAAUAACAUUUGCUGAAAAAAAGUAUUGAUUAACAAAAAGUCAAACUACAAUUAUCUGAUCAACG